UACCAGCACCCCGAGUGGUCGGGACGUUUAUUGGGCCUAAAGCAUCCGUAGCCGGUUCUACAAGUCUUCCGUUGAAUCCACCUGCUUAACAGAUGGGCUGCGGAAGAUACUAUAGAGCUAGGAGGCGGGGAGAGGCAAGCGGUACUCGAUGGGUAGGGGUAAAAUCCGUUGAUCCAUUGAAGACCACCAGUGGCGAAGGCGGCUUGCCAGAACGCGCUCGACGGUGAGGGAUGAAAGCUGGGGGAGCAAACCGG
rnacentral:rRNA from 1 species